GCUUCUCUCCACCUAUGGAAGAAAAGCAGCACACAGGCAGUGCUAUUCAUGAAGCACUCGUUAGUCCUGUUUCUUGUUUUGCACAGACAGUGUUACUCAUUGUGCACGUUAUAGCACUUGUGUGUUGUAGCUGUUAUCAGCUACCAAGCUGUCCUUAAACAGGAAAGUGGAGGAAGUGACCACGAUGUCAUAGUGACUUUAGGUGUGGUGAACUUUGCUUGCUUGCUUGCCAUUUGCCUCACCCAUAUAAUUUCCUUAGUCUUAUUUAUAAGCAAUGCUGGUGACUCCUCUUUGGAUACAAGGACUUGUUUCCUUAGAGAAUCAAAACCUCAAAAGAUUUUUUAUGUUCAUUGUUUCAGUGUGUGGGGACUUUAUUUAAAUUACUUCCCAUUUGUCUUUGCUUUUUUGCAGGAUGCAUUCAUUUUCAUGCCUCUUCAUCUUUCAGUACAGUCAUUAACGAAACCACAAAGGUGUGUGCAUUCAUUUGUAAUGUCAAUACAGCAGCCUGAAUGUUCCCUGGAGCCACAGCAUCUGUCACAGUGGGGACACGCCUUCUCCUCCUGCUCCUCGUGCUGCACCCUCUGCAUUCAUGCUGAGAGAGCUAAGAUAAUGUAGAUGGCUCAUAGCUAAUUCUGUGGACCAAGCCCGCAUAUUGUCUCUGCUUCUGGCUACAGAUGCCAUUGCUGGAGAUCAGAACUUUUGGGAAAAGCAGGAGAUUUCACCGUUACCUGAACAGCUCAAAAGUGGCAGUGGAGAUUGCAGAGGCUGGCAACAGGACAGUGCUGCCUGCAAAAUUCGUGAGAUGCCAGCCGAGGAGAACCUAAAAAUAAUGACCUCUGGCAUUGCAACCUGGUACAAGACAGCUAUCGAAUGGGCAAUUCUGCAGUCUAGGCUGUGGCUGAACUCAUGCUGGGAAAGAUGGAGGAAUGAAAGGCCUCUAGAAAAUUAAUUUUAGCUGUGCUUUGCACCAAGCAGACAGAAGAGUCAUAAAGCUGAGCUUAAAAUUUUUGUGUGAAGACAGUAUUGGUCUGAAGUGUAAGUACAAAUGUGGGAUAAACUUGAAAUGAGAACAUUUUCUUUGUAAUGCACAUCAGAAACCUUCAGAAGAAGUUAAGGCGCUUCAAGAUGAAUCAGAGGGGAAGCUCCUUCAGCUCGUCGCUCACUGCACCGUGCAACAUUUUGAAAUUUCUUCUUUUCUUUCAUCAACUGCUCUCCAGAUGGAAGCUGAGGAUCUUCAGUAUUGUCUGGGGAUGCUGAAGUUGUGGCAGUCUGAGAAGCAGUUUUGACCAAAUCCUUAUCAUGCGCCUGGGGUGUGUACUGAUCACUUGUACACAAGGGGGAUAAAUUGUUCUCCCAAGAAAUACUGGUCCUAACUAAGGCACAUGGGUCUGUGUGCCCCUUAUUUGUUUUGGUGAGAGACCUAGGAAAGAGUUUGGCGGGCUUCAGUCAUGAUUUCAGAAUGGGAGAAUAUAAAAAAAAAGCAACAUAAAACCUGUUGUUUGUUCCUAUGCAGGAUGUAGCAGUGUACUUACAUAGAGAGAAGUAGAGAGAUUGUAUCAGUGUAUAUCCCAGUCAUAACUCAUUUAUUUUCUUAACGGUACCAGCCAGGGAAGGCUAUUGAGUAUUGGUGCUGCACUUGGAGCACAGAAAGAAUGGGAUGUUUUACAGUCCUGGAUUCAAUUCAUGGUUAAAUGUCUCAGGUAAUAGAAGCGUUUACUGCAUCACUCGAGAGCAUUCUAUUGUCUGCUAGAUUUCAUAAGCAAGGAGUUUUAUUUUUGAUAUAGUUGAGCUGCUUGC